AGCAGCCGCGGUAAUUCCAGCUCCAAUAGCGUAUAUUAAAGUUGUUGCAGUUAAGAAGCUCGUAGUUGAAUUUCGGGAUCAAGUCGUCGGUCGUGCUCAGGUACGUACUGGCGUCAUUGAUUUCUCCCUUCUGACGAACCAUGAUGUCAUUAAUUUGGUGUUAUGGGAAAUCAGGACUGUUACUUUGAAAAAAUUAGAGUGUUUAAAGCAGGCUCACGCUUGAAUACAUUAGCAUGGAAUAAUGAAAUAGGACGUUCGAUCCUAUUUUGUUGGUUUUAGGAUCAACGUAAUGAUUAAUAGGGAUAGUUGGGGGCAUUAGUAUUCAAUUGUCAGAGGUGAAAUUCUUGGAUUUAUUGAAGACUAACUACUGCGAAAGCAUUUGCCAAGGAUGUUUUCAUUAAUCAAGAACGAAAGUUAGGGGAUCGAAGACGAUCAGAUACCGUCGUAGUCUUAACCAUAAACUAUGCCGACUAGGGAUCGGAUGAUGUUAAUUUUUUAAUGACUCAUUCGGCGCCUUACG
rnacentral:rRNA from 1 species